rnacentral:tRNA from 1 species
UAACUCAGUGGUAGAGUGCUUGCCUAGUAUGCACAAGGCCCUGGGUUCAAUUCCCAG